GCCUCAGUAGCGCGCGAGUGAAGCGGCAAGAGCUCAGAUUUGAAAUCGUGCUUUGCGGCACGAGUUGUAGAUUGCAGGUUGGAGUCUGUGUGGAAGGCGGUGUCCAAGUCCCUUGGAACAGGGCGCCCAGGAGGGUGAGAGCCCCGUGGGAUGCCGGCGGAAGCAGUGAGGCCCUUCUGACGAGUCGAGUUGUUUGGGAAUGCAGCUCCAAGCGGGUGGUAAAUUCCAUCUAAGGCUAAAUACUGGCGAGAGACCGAUAGCGAACAAGUACUGUGAAGGAAAGAUGAAAAGCACUUUGAAAAGAGAGUGAAACAGCACGUGAAAUUGUUGAAAGGGAAGGGUAUUGCGCCCGACAUGGGGAUUGCGCACCGCUGCCUCUCGUGGGCGGCGCUCUGGGCUUUCCCUGGGCCAGCAUCGGUUCUUGCUGCAGGAGAAGGGGUUCUGGAACGUGGCUCUUCGGA
rnacentral:rRNA from 1 species